UACGAAGGGGGCAAGCGUUGUUCGGAAUCACUGGGCGUAAAGCGCACGUAGGCGGCUUUCUAAGUCAGGGGUGAAAUCCUGGAGCUCAACUCCAGAACUGCCUUUGAUACUGGAGAGCUAGAGUCCGGAAGAGGUGAGUGGAACUGCGAGUGUAGAGGUGAAAUUCGUAGAUAUUCGCAAGAACACCAGUGGCGAAGGCGGCUCACUGGUCCGGUACUGACGCUGAGGUGCGAAAGCGUGGGGAGCAAACAGG
rnacentral:rRNA from 1 species